GGCUUUUAGCUAACACUGCAGGAUGGGCCCGCGGCGCAUUAGCUAGUUGGUAAGGUAACGGCUUACCAAGGCCACGAUGCGUAGCCGACCUGAGAGGGUGAUCGGCCACACUGGGACUGAGACACGGCCCAGACUCCUACGGGAGGCAGCAGUAGGGAAUCUUCCGCAAUGGACGAAAGUCUGACGGAGCAACGCCGCGUGAGUGACGAAGGCCUUCGGGUCGUAAAGCUCUGUUGUUAGGGAAGAACAAGUACCGUUCGAAUAGGGCGGUACCUUGACGGUACCUAACCAGAAAGCCACGGCUAACUACGUGCCAGCAGCCGCGGUAAUACGUAGGUGGCAAGCGUUGUCCGGAAUUAUUGGGCGUAAAGCGCGCGCAGGCGGUCUCUUAAGUCUGAUGUGAAAGCCCACGGCUCAACCGUGGAGGGCCAUUGGAAACUGGGGGACUUGAGUGCAGAAGAGGAGAGUGGAAUUCCACGUGUAGCGGUGAAAUGCGUAGAUAUGUGGAGGAACACCAGUGGCGAAGGCGGCUCUCUGGUCUGUAACUGACGCUGAGGCGCGAAAGCGUGGGGAGCAAACAGGAUUAGAUACCCUGGUAGUCCACGCCGUAAACGAUGAGUGCUAGGUGUUGGGGGCUUCCACCCUCAGUGCUGAAGUUAACACAUUAAGCACUCCGCCUGGGGAGUACGACCGCAAGGUUGAAACUCAAAGGAAUUGACGGGGGCCCGCACAAGCAGUGGAGCAUGUGGUUUAAUUCGAAGCAACGCGAAGAACCUUACCAGGUCUUGACAUCCUCUGCCACUCCUAGAGAUAGGACGUUCCCCUUCGGGGGACAGAGUGACAGGUGGUGCAUGGUUGUCGUCAGCUCGUGUCGUGAGAUGUUGGGUUAAGUCCCGCAACGAGCGCAACCCUUGAUCUUAGUUGCCAGCAUUCAGUUGGGCACUCUAAGGUGACUGCCGGUGACAAACCGGAGGAAGGUGGGGACGACGUCAAAUCAUCAUGCCCCUUAUGACCUGGGCUACACACGUGCUACAAUGGACGGUACAAAGGGCAGCAACACCGCGAGGUGAAGCGAAUCCCAUAAAGCCGUUCUCAGUUCGGAUUGCAGGCUGCAACUCGCCUGCAUGAAGCCGGAAUUGCUAGUAAUCGC
rnacentral:rRNA from 1 species